CCCUCCCUCUCUCCCUCCCCCCUCCCUCCCCUGAGUAAUCCUUGCUGCCCUACCGGGUGGUUUGAGGUGUGAGCCAGAGAGGUGAGAGCCGUCUGUGACCUGGUCAUAGAAAAAGGUAAUUGAGUCUGUGUGUUUUAUUUUGAUCUCACUAGUUAACUUCUAUGCCACGAACCUCUUUAAUGAAACCAUUGUGCUGGUCGCCUGGUGGAGUGAUCCUUGCAAAUAUGCUGAAUAACCAGUCACCAAAGACAUUAUUUGGUUGCAUUAAUACGAAAUGUCCACCAUAAGAGCUAGUGGAGAGAUUGGUGGGAAGAAAUGGGGAGACACUGCUAAUGGGUAUACAAUUUAUUUUCAGGAUGAUGGAAAUGUUCUAAAAUUGAUUGUGGUAAUGGUUGUACAACUCUUAAGAAUCACUGAAUUGUAUAGUGUAAGUGGGUGAAUUUUAUCAUAUGAAUUAUAUCAAUAAAGCUAUUAUAUUUUUUAAAGA